rnacentral:rRNA from 1 species
UUGUCUCAAAGAUUAAGCCAUGCAUGUCUCAGUACAAGCCGAAUUAAGGUGAAACCGCGAAAGGCUCAUUAAAUCAGUUAUGGUUCCUUAGAUCGUACCCACAUUUACUUGGAUAACUGUGGUAAUUCUAGAGCUAAUACAUGCAAACAGAGCUCCGACCGGAGACGGAAGGAGCGCUUUUAUUAGAUCAAAACCAAUCGGUGUCGAUUUACGUCGUCAUCGUAAAACUUGGUGACUCUGAAUAACUUUCAGCUGAUCGCACGGUCUCGCACCGGCGACGCAUCUUUCAAAUGUCUGCCUUAUCAACUGUCGAUGGUAGGUUCUGCGCCUACCAUGGUUGUAACGGGUAACGGGGAAUCAGGGUUCGAUUCCGGAGAGGGAGCCUGAGAAACGGCUACCACAUCCAAGGAAGGCAGCAGGCGCGCAAAUUACCCACUCCCGGCACGGGGAGGUAGUGACGAAAAAUAACGAUACGGGACUCAUCCGAGGCCCCGUAAUCGGAAUGAGUACACUCUAAACCCUUUAACGAGGAUCAAUUGGAGGG